UGAAGCCUUGUGAGUUUGACCAAAACCCAAACCUGAACUCCACAUACUGGACUUCUGAAGUUUCUACUUAAAGGCAUUUUAGAAAUCACAGUAAAGACUACAUGUAUCUAUAUUUGGACACUUGCCUGUGGAAGCCAGUGGCCAUUCUAGCUGAACCUGCCAGUUCUCUGCGGUGUCAUCACACUCGAGCAGCAUUGUGUCACCAUCAUCGACACUGCUAACACCGUGUCCCAGCUGAUCGUCAAGGUGUGGGCCUUGCCAGGAGCCCCGUGAAAACGAAGAUGCUGGGAACUGUCCAUCUGGUUCGCCAACCACGUGGCCUAAGAACCUACGGCUUCCACAAGCUCCUCGGGCACUUUUGCUGCAAACAGAAGUCAAGAGCCACUGUCCCAGGCAGCGGAGCAGGACCUGAAAGGGGUCCUGAAUUUAGGCGCCUGCCGUAUUCGUUAGUC